rnacentral:rRNA from 1 species
AAUACCUACGGGACGCAGCAGUGGGGGAUAUUGCACAAUGGGGGGAACCCUGAUGCAGCGACGCCGCGUGGGUGAAGGAGCGUUUCGGCGCGUAAAGCCCUAUCGGCAGGGAAGAAGGAGGACGGUACCUGACUAAGAAGCCCCGGCUAACUACGUGCCAGCAGCCGCGGUAAUACGUAGGGGGCGAGCGUUGUCCGGAAUUACUGGGCGUAAAGAGAGCGUAGGCGGCACUACAAGUCUCAUGUGAAAUACCCGGGCUUAACUUGGGGGUUGCAUGGGAAACUGUAGAGCUUGAGUACAG